UACGUAGGGGGCUAGCGUUGUCCGGAUUUAUUGGGCGUAAAGAGCGUGUAGGCGGUUCGGUAAGUCUGUCGUGAAAUCCUGAGGCUCAACCUCGGACGUGCGAUGGAUACUGGCGGGCUAGAGGAUGGUAGAGGCGAGUGGAAUUCCCGGUGUAGCGGUGAAAUGCGCAGAUAUCGGGAGGAACACCAGUAGCGAAGGCGGCUCGCUGGGCCAUUCCUGACGCUGAGACGCGAAAGCUAGGGGAGCGAACAGG
rnacentral:rRNA from 1 species